rnacentral:misc_RNA from 1 species
UCCCCGUUAACCGGGGCAGUCCCCCUAGAGUUCCCGGCCUGACCCGUUGGCAACUAGGGGCGAGGGUUGCGCUCGUUGCGGGACUUAACCCAACAUCUCACGACACGAGCUGACGACAGCCAUGCAGCACCUGUGUCGGCUCCCCUUGCGGGGUCGGGCCCCUUUCAGGUUCCUACCACCGACAUGUCAAACCCAGGUAAGGUUUUUCGCGUUGCGUCGAAUUGAACCACAUGCUCCACCGCUUGUGCGGGUCCCCGUCAAAUCCUUUGAGUUUCAGCCUUGCGACCGUACUCCCCAGGCGGGGCACUUAAUGCGUUAGCUACGGCACGGAACCCAUGGAAUAGGUCCCACACCUAGCGCCCAACGUUUACGGUGUGGACUAA